rnacentral:rRNA from 1 species
GUAGGUGAACCUGCGGAAGGAUCAUUGUCGAAACCUGCAGAGCAGAACGACCCGCGAACCGGGGGAGCCGCGCUGCCGGGGGGCUCCUGCGCCCCCUCCCGCGUCUCCCUCCCCGUCCCCGGCGCGCGCGCCCGCGUGCGCUCCGGGCGACUAACGAACCCCGGCGCGAAAAGCGCCAAGGAAUACCCAACAAGACAGCCUGUCCCCCGCGCCCCGUCCGCGGAGCGCGCGGGGGAGCCUGCGCUUCUUUCGAAACAAAAAACGACUCUCGGCAACGGAUAUCUCGGCUCUCGCAUCGAUGAAGAACGUAGCGAAAUGCGAUACUUGGUGUGAAUUGCAGAAUCCCGUGAACCAUCGAGUCUUUGAACGCAAGUUGCGCCCGAAGCCAUUAGGCCGAGGGCACGCCUGCCUGGGCGUCACGCAUCGCGUCGCCCCCCUCGCCCCGCUCCCGUGGAAACGGCAGCGGCGGCGUCGCGGGACGGAUACUGGCCUCCCGUGCGCCUAGAGCUCGCGGCUGGCCUAAAUGCGAGUCCACGUCGACGGACGUCGCGGCAAGUGGUGGUUGAAACUCAACUCUCGUGGUGCCGCGGCUGCUGCCCGUCGCGCGUGCGGUCUCCGGGACCCUCACAGCGCUUGGGCGCUCCGACCGCGACCCCAGGUCA